rnacentral:rRNA from 1 species
CCUACGGGUGGCAGCAGUGAGGAAUAUUGGUCAAUGGACGAGAGUCUGAACCAGCCAAGUAGCGUGAAGGAUGACUGCCCUAUGGGUUGUAAACUUCUUUUAUAUGGGAAUAAACUGUUCCACGUGUGGGAUUUUGUAUGUACCAUAUGAAUAAGGAUCGGCUAACUCCGUGCCAGCAGCCGCGGUAAUACGGAGGAUCCGAGCGUUAUCCGGAUUUAUUGGGUUUAAAGGGAGCGUAGGUGGAUUGUUAAGUCAGUUGUGAAAGUUUGGGGCUCAACCGUAGAAUUGCAGUUGAAACUGGCAGUCUUGAGUGCAGUAGAGGUGGGCGGAAUGCGUGGUGUAGCGGUGAAAUGCUUAGAUAUCACGAAGAACUCCGAUUGCGAAGGCAGUUCACUGGACUGCAACUGACACUGAGGCUCGAAAGUGUGGGUAUCAAACAGGAUUAGAUACCCCAGUAGUC